rnacentral:snoRNA from 1 species
GUGGGAUGAGCUUCAGAUGACGAGUCUGAAGUGUCGUGGCGAGGCUUCCUUGUCGCGGCUUCCGUGACGAUGUCUAAAAUUUAUACCAUUCAUGCUUUUCUGAUC